CAAUAGCGUAUAUUAAAGUUGUUGCAGUUAAAAAGCUCGUAGUUGAAUUUUUGCUUGCCGCCGAUGUCGGAACUUCCGUACGUUCGGCGGCGUGCAUCCUUGGGUGGAACCUGUGUGGCAUUAGGUUGUCGUGCAGGGGAUGCUCAUCGUUUACUGUGAAAAAAUUAGAGUGUUCAAAGCAGGCUUAUACCGUUGAAUAUAUUAGCAUGGAAUAAUAAGAUAGGACCUUGGUACUAUUUUGUUGGUUUGCGCACCGAGGUAAUGAUUAACAGGGACAGUUGGGGGUAUUCGUAUUCCAUUGUCAGAGGUGAAAUUCUUGGAUUUCUGGAAGACGAACUACUGCGAAAGCAUUUACCAAGGAUGUUUUCAUUAA
rnacentral:rRNA from 1 species